rnacentral:rRNA from 1 species
AACGUAGGUCCCGAGCGUUAUCCGGAUUUACUGGGCGUAAAGCGUGUUCAGGCGGUCUAGCAAGUCGGGCAUGAAAUCUCUCGGCUCAACCGGGAGGGGUUGUCCGAUACUGCUGGGCUUGAGGGCAGCAGAGGGUGGUGGAAUUCCGGGUGUAGUGGUGAAAUGCGUAGAUAUCCGGAGGAACACCAGUGGCGAAGGCGGCCACCUGGGCUGUACCUGACGCUCAAACACGAAAGCUAGGGGAGCAAACGGG